CAAAUGUUAACCCUACACCUGGAGUAAAUCCCCUUUGCCCAUUGAGUUACUCUACCUCCCACCUGUCCUGAGCCAGGGCAUUGGGCUACUGCACCUGCAAAGGUAGGCAGGUCUUUAAAGUCAGCCUCUGCCCUUCCUCUGGGAAGGUAAGUUUUGAAAGGGCUUCAUUGGGUGUGGGUUGGUUGGAGGGAGGGGGGCUCCAACUGAAAGAAGAGGAAGGGGUACCAUUGGUUUUGACAGAGCUUAACUUCUUUGCUACCUAAGUUUGGUACUUCUGGGGUGAAGUGGCACCCAAAGGGGCCCAGGAGUGUGACAAAAAGUACCAUCGUUGGGGAUAUUUUGCAAUUUCUUCUGCCCUUCUAUCAGAAGAAGACAGAAGUUCAGCAGGACUUGCCUUGGAUUUUUCUUUUGCUUGUGACUUUGGGAGCUCAAUGCCCAAGAAAAGGAGUGCCCCCUUGCUGAGGAGGAUGUGCUUGGAGAAAGUGGCUCUAAACAUGAGGUACAUCUGGGCUGGAGAUUACAUUAUCAACCGCUUGGCCAGCUCCUUUGUCAAAGAACUGCUCCAGUUAAUGUGUGAAGAAGAUCUCCUGACCUCAAGUGUGCUGCACUCCCUCCUCUUGCCCCAGCUGUCUGAACUGGACUUGGGCAUCUGCCCAGAGUUGGUCACAGAGUCCAGUAUCCAAAUUACCACAGUGUGUUGCAAGAAUUUGUCUUCGCUGAAUCUCAGCGGCUGUAUCCAGAUCCCUGAAGAAGCUCUAAUUGACCUGGUGAAAAGUUUGCCACAUCUCACAAAACUAGACCUCUCAAAGACUCAGUGCAAUACAGAAGUAUUAUCAGCUUUGGGCUCCUGCUGUUGUGGGCUUCGUGAGCUUGACAUCUCUCUGUGUGAGGAGGUGACCCAGGAAUCACUGCUUCACCUUGUCUGUGAUCCUGCCACUGGUGCUCUCUGUUGCCAAGAAUUGCAAACCCUUCAGCUUUGUACCCUAAAGUCCACCACUAAUGAACAUGAGUUGGUGUGGGUCUUGGUCUUUGUGCUGCUCGCAUUGCCCAACCUGAAGUACCUGAUUCACGAUUCAGUGGUAGAUGCUGUGUGUCUGAUCUAUUACCAGCACUUGAGCAGUACCCGCAUAUUCCCUGGGUUUCCUUCUCUGGCAGAGUUAGCAAGAUUCAGGGUGCCUGACUAUCUGAAUGAGGGUGGUUCUAGCCUCUCACUAGCUCUCAAGGAAAUCUAUGCAGUGGAUGAGUAUUCCUGGCCUAUGGCCUGUGCCGUGUGCCCCCACUUGGAAGAAGUAUCAUUGUUCCUAAGAGACAGUCCUGAUUUGGGUCAAAGUUUCACAUCAUGGGGCUCUCUUGUUCAUCUCACUAUCAACUGCAAGGAAAGGAGGGACUUGAAGGAGCUUUGGCCUGUGACAAGAAACCUUGGGGGCCAGCUUCGUAUUCUUGCCAUUGAAGGAUUCUCCUUGGAUGAUGAGUUGUCUUUUUACACCCUGCUGAACGAUUGCCAGAAUCUUAAACAUCUGAGAGUUACUUUUUUUCCUCCAGUGCAAAGUGGUAAUAUCCGAAUGAAAAACAUUGAUGCCUUCAGCUCCAGCCUCCCUCCCCUCAAAUUCCCUCGGCUUUCUAGCCUUUACCUGAUGCAGGCUGACGUGGAGGACCUUUUGCCUGCAGAGCAUGGCUUGAUUUUGAAAACUAGCCUUACAUAUCUUCUUAAAUAUUCCCCAAACCUGCAGAGCUUGGAUCUGGUCUGCUUAACCAUCUCUCUGGAUGAAGUCUUUCAAAUGGUAUUGACAACCCCCAACAGUUCUCUCCUACAACUCCAAAAGCUUUACUUGAUACAAGAUGACGACAUAUCCAUGAACACUAUUGACCUUCUGCUGUCCUCCAAGAAUGAGUUGAAUUGCCUCAAGAUAGACACCUGCUCAAAAAUCUGUGAGACAGAUUUGGAGAAGGUCCUUCAGAAAGUAGUCAAGGAAAACCUUGAUCUGAAUGUUGUGUGGGAAUGAAAAUCCCUCUUUCAGUUUGUGGUGGCAGGUCCACCUCUGAGAAUCCCCUGCCUUCCUGGCAUGUCCAGGUCUUCUCUUAUAUUCCUGUCCCAGCAUUCCCAAUGCCUAGAAACCUUAAGUCUUGUUUUUAAAAAUGGUCUUCCUAGAUGAAGGUUUUCAGAAGGGUCUGGCAUCUUCUGGAACUGCCCUACUGCACUUUUGGAACCUCUUUGAACCAUUUGAAAGCUUUCAAGUUGGACAUGUGCCUAGAUAUCAAAGAGACGGAUUACAUGGAGGUCCUCCAAAGAGUAAGCAAGGAAGCCUUUUGUUUUUAUGUCCUCAGAACAAAAAACCCUCCCCUCCAGCCUAUAGUGGCAGGUCCACUUCUGCUGUGAUCAAAAUAGUGUUUCUUGUUUUAUAUUUUAAUAAAGUUGAGUUUACAUAAUGCAUGUGUUGUCUCUGGAGUGUAUUGAGAUAAGACUACAGAAAAAUUGGCAGCUUAAUGGGGUCCACAUUAACUGCAGGUUAAUAUGGUUAAGACACACACUCUCAGCCUCAGAGUUUUGUCACAAGUCCAGACUCGGAAAGCUAGACCUACUGGAGCUUUUAUCAUUACUAUUAUGGAUAGUACUGUAUUUGUCUUGUCCUAUAUAUGCAGCUGGUUUUACAUUUUCCCUAUUUGUUACUCCAAGGAUAUCAAAUGUUGCAAGAUACUUUCAGGACCUCUUCUGUUUGGCAUAAAUCAGGCAAGUGAGACAAAGCAUGUACUAUUAAAUGAGAAAAUAGGCUCCUUCUACACAGCUGUAUGAAAUCCAC
rnacentral:lncRNA from 11 species